rnacentral:rRNA from 1 species
AUUGAACGCUGGCGGCAGGCCUAACACAUGCAAGUCGAGCGGAGCGGCGGACGGGUGCGUAAUGCUUAGGAAUCUGCAUGGUAGUGGGGGAUAACGUCCGGUAAUGGGCGCUAAUACUGCAACCUAUCAGAUGAGCAUAGGUCGGAUUAGCUGGUUGGUGGGGUAAAGGCACACCCAGGCGACGACCCGUAACUGGGCUGAGAGGAUGAGCAGUCACACUGGAACUGAGACACGGUCCAGACUCCUACGGGAGGCAGCAGUGGGGAAUAUUGGACAAUGGGCGAAAGCCUGAUGCAGCCAUGCCGCGUGUGUGAAGAAGGUCUUCGGGUUGUAAAGCACUUUAAGUUGGGAGGCGUUACCAGCAGAAGAAGCACCGGCUAACUCCGUGCCAGCAGCCGCGGUAAUUC